CAAAGGCUUGGUCCUGACUUUACUAUCAGCUUUAACUGAACUUACACAUGCAAGUCUCCGCAUUCCUGUGAGGAUGCCCUUAAUCCCCUGCCCGGGGACGAGGAGCCGGCAUCAGGCGCGCCCAGGCAGCCCAAGACGCCUUGCUAAGCCACACCCCCAAGGAAACUCAGCAGUGAUAGAUAUUAAGCCAUAAGCGAAAGCUU
rnacentral:rRNA from 1 species